AUCAAUUCAAGAUGUGUAUAUAGUACAUGCGAUUCUCCAGCCUUUUGUCUCUGACGAGGCGCACUGAUUGGGAUCUGCUUAUUCCACAGAUCAAAAAG